rnacentral:tRNA from 1 species
AUUGGUGUGGGAUUUUAGGCAUAUCAUCCCUAUUUAAACUAGGGUGUGAAUAAUAAGUUCGACCUCCCGAAAAAGGAUCGUCUCUUUUAGCCAAUA